AAAAUGUUAAAGUUCUUAUUUCAUGGUAUAACUUUGGUAUGCUUGGACCUAGAGUCUUUAAACUUGACAUGAAGGUUGGCCAGGAUUAACAGAUGACCACUGGUCAUUUCAAGGUCAUUCAUUUGAAGGUGAAGGUCACUGUGACCUUCAAUAUAAAAAUGUUAAAGUUGUUAUAACUUUGGUAUGCUUGGACCUAGAGUCUUGAAACUUGACAUGAAGGUUGGCCAGAACUAGUAAGUAACCACUGGACAUUUCAAGGUCAUUCAUUUGAAGGUCAAGGUCACUGUGACCUUGAAUGUAAAAAUGUUAAAGUUGUUAUAACUUUGGUAUGCUUGGACCUAGAGUCUUGAAACUUGACAUGAAGGUUGGCCAGAACUAGUAAGUAACCACUGGACAUUUCAAGGUCAUUCAUUUGAAGGUCAAGGUCACUGUGACCUUGAAUGUAAAAAUGUUAAAGUUCUUAUUUCAUGUUAUAACUUUGGUAUGCUUGUACCUAGAGUCUUCAAACUUGAAAUAAAGAUUGGCCAGUACUAGAAGAUGACCACUGGUCAUUUCAAUGUCAUUCAUUUGAAGGUCAAGGUCACUGUGACCUUAAAUGUUAAAAUGUUAAAAUUGUUAUAACUUUGGUAUGCUUGGACAUAGAGUCUUCAAACUUGACAUGAAGGUUUGCAAGCACACUUAGAUGACCACUGGUCAUUUCAAGGUCAUUCAUUCUAAGGUCAAGGUCACUGUGACCUUGAAUGUAAAAAUGUUAAAGUUCUUAUAACUGGUGUGAUAGAAACCUUUUGGAGUGAUCAUAAGGCUGUCUGGAUUUCUGUGUAGGUAUGUGAAAGCAAAACAAUAAAUAGUAUUAUUUCA